AUAAAAUUGAGAAUGGAAAUGGGGAAUGUGUCAAAGAGACAACAACCCGACCAUAGAGCAGACAACAGCCGAAGGCCACCAAUGGGUCUUCAAUGCAGCGAGAAACUCCCGCACCCGGAGGCGUCCUUCAGCUGGCCCCUAAACAAAUAUGUAUACUAGUUCAGUGGUAAUGGACGUCAUACUAAACUCCAAAUUAUACACAAGAAACUAAAAUUAAUAAAAUGCUCCGCAGGGCGCAGCUUGAUACGACCGCAGAGGUCGAACCCUGAACAGUUGGGGCAAGGAUGGACACAACAUUCAAGCUUGAUACAGCUCUGAAUUUGGAUUGUGAUUAAAUAUAUGACACAGCAUAGGUUUCUGACACAGAAAGAAUGUGGUCUAAGAACUUGAAUUUUUUGAAUUUACCUAUUAUGGUCCAAUGUCCAAAAUCAAAAUACAUGGUUAGAUUCAGCAUAUCAAAGAACCCCAUAUAUUCAAUUUUUGUUAAAAUCAAACAAAGUUUAAUUUUGGACCCCAACUUGGACAAACUUGAAAACUGGGCCCAUAAUCAAAAAUCUAAACACAUGUUUAGAUUCAGCAUAUCAAAGAACCCCAAGAAUUCAAUUUUUGCUAAAAUCAAACUAAGUUUAAUUUUGGACCCUUUGGACCUUAAUGUAGACCAAUUUAAAAAACGGGACUUAAAAUUAAAAAUCUAAAUAUACGCUUAGAUUUGGAAUAUCAAAGAACCCCAAUAAUUCAAUUUUUGAUGAAAUCAAACAAAGUUUAAUUUUGGACCCUUUUGACCUCAAUAUGAACCAAUUUGAUAGCAGGGCCCACAAAUAAAAAAUCUAAAUUCAUGGUUAGAUUCAGCAUAACAAAGAACCCCAUAUAUUCAAUUUUUGUUGAAAUCAAAAAAAGUAUAAUUUUGGACCCCAACUUGGACCAACUUGAAAACUGGGCCCAUAAUCAAAAAUCUAAACACAUGUUUAGAUUCAGCAUAUCAAAGAACCCCAAGAAUUCAAUUUUUGUUAAAAUCAAACUAAGUUUAAUUUUGGACCCUUUGGACCUCAAUGAAGACCAAUUUAAAAAACGGGACCCAAAUUAAAAAUCUAAAAACACGGUUAGAUUUGGCAUAUCAAAGAACCCCAAUAAUUCAAUUUUCGAUGAAAUCAAACAAAGUUUAAUUUUGGACCCUUUUGACCUCAAUAUGAGCCAAUUUGAUAGCGGGGCC